rnacentral:rRNA from 1 species
CCUACGGGAGGCAGCAGUGGGGAAUAUUGGACAAUGGGGGGAACCCUGAUCCAGCCAUGCCGCGUGUGUGAAGAAGGCCCUCGGGUUGUAAAGCACUUUCAGUGAGGAAGAACGCUUGGUGGUUAAUACCCAUCAGGAAAGACAUCACUCACAGAAGAAGCACCGGCUAACUCCGUGCCAGCAGCCGCGGUAAUACGGAGGGUGCGAGCGUUAAUCGGAAUUACUGGGCGUAAAGCGCGCGUAGGUGGCUUGAUAAGCCGGUUGUGAAAGCCCCGGGCUCAACCUGGGAACGGCAUCCGGAACUGUCAAGCUAGAGUGCAGGAGAGGAAGGUAGAAUUCCCGGUGUAGCGGUGAAAUGCGUAGAGAUCGGGAGGAAUACCAGUGGCGAAGGCGGCCUUCUGGACUGACACUGACACUGAGGUGCGAAAGCGUGGGUAGCAAACAGGAUUAGAUACCCCGGUAGUC